UUUUAUUCAGACCGACACGUAAGAGACCGCGUCAGGCUACACCUCCGUCGCGUCACCGAGAACAACAACACCGAGAGGAGGACGAGGCAUCCGACGACAGCGAGAAUCGGCAAAAAACGAGUGAAUUUCCGGUUGCGGGCGUGCUGGAGCCAAUCCCAGCUAUAUCUUCGGGUGAGAGGCGGAGUACACCCUGAAGUGGUCGCCAGCCAAUCGCAGGGCACAUAUAAACAAACAACCAUUUUCACUCACAUUCACACAUACGGGCAAUUUAGAGUUGUCAAUUAACCUACGAUGCAUGUUUUUGGGAUGUGGGAGGAAACCGGAGUGCCCGGAGAAAACCCACGCAGGCACGGGGAGAACAUGCAAACUCCACACAGGCGGGGCCGGGGAUUGAACCUGCUCUAUAAGUGUAAUGCAUUAUUAUUAUUACGGAUGUCUUAACCAGAAAGUGUUCCAAUUUCAAGUCAGUGGAUUUAGCAUGUUUUCCCUGUGCUUGAGUCCUUUUUCAAAACCUGGUGUUCUUGGUUCCUCCCCCAGUCAUUAAAACAUGUAUGCUUGGUUCAUUGAUGAUUUGAAAUUGCCCGUGUAUGCAGGAGCACUAUCAGAAAUUAUUUGGUGUGGUGGCUGAAGGCAUUCGUCGAUGGGUGGUGGGGUGGCCGCAACCAAUCAUCAACGGAGACAGGGGUGUGCUGAUUGACUUUUUCUGCCGCCGAACCUAUCGACGGGGGUGUUGAGGAGGGGACUUUUCCGCCGUUUAAUAUACCUGACACUAGGAUUAAUGUGACUGACUAGCGAGUGGGGUGGCCACUGAGGUGGCCGACAAAUUCAUCGGGGUGGCCGUGGCCACCCCCUGAUGGCGCUCCUGCCUGUGUGGUUGUCUCUCUUGGUCAGUCUUGUGAUUGACUUGGUGUUGUGCUAUAUCUCACCGUGUCAUCAGUAAUGACAGCAACAUUGUCACACUUAAGAACCCCCUGCCAAAAGGAAUCUCACCAAUGACAAACAGUGGGUUCUAAGCUGUGGCAGCUGGUCAACAUCCUGCGGGGAAAAUGAGACUUCAGACCAAUUUAUGGCCAUCAUCUCUGUGUGCGAGGUCACCACAGCAGCUCUUCAACACGCACGUACAGAUGUGAAGCAUACCUAGCGAGUGAUUGAAUAUCCCAGUGGUGCAAACACUUCUGACCUAAACGCCGUCCUUUGCAAUAAAAUGUGCAUGGCUGUAGGAUACAGCAUCUCAAAGGACUGAGUUUUGUACUUUUCCAUUCAAAGUAAGGCACAAAGAGCUUGUGUAAUACACAUUUGUCACGAAGCUGCCUUUACAUCUGUCCUCGCAGGUGACUGACUUGAUUAAACAUUGAUUUCCCUUAAUCAAGACCACCAGCUAAGGUAGCCAUGUUAGC